rnacentral:tRNA from 2 species
CAAAAUAUAGCUUAAACAAAGCAUCUCGCUUACACCGAGAAUAUAUCUGUUAAACUCAGAUUAUUUUGA